GGUACUUUCCUGAAGGCAUCGAUAUAUACUUUGAAAAUGUUGGGGGAAAGAUGCUCGAUGCAGUCCUACUAAACAUGAGGAUGAAUGGCCGAAUCGCAAUUUGUGGGAUGAUCUCGCAGUACAACCUUGAGCAAACAGAAGGUGUGCAUAAUUUAAUAUCACUCAUCUCUAAACAGGUCCGUAUGCAAGGUUUCGUGGCUUUUAGUUACUAUCAUCUAUACGGGAAGUUUCUUGAAACAGUUCUACCUGCCAUAAAAGAAGGGAAGAUAAUAUACGUGGAAGAUGUAGUUGAAGGCCUUGAGAGCGCUCCGGGGGCUCUGGCAGGGCUCUUUGCUGGCCGCAAUGUCGGAAAGCAGGUGGUUUUAGUUUCUAGGGAUUGACUCCGUCACAGACGUCCAGUUGUCCCUAUGGAAUCUUGAUACUUGUAUAAAAGGCGUCAAAAUGACUUGAUUGAGCACUUGUGGGGUUGAAAUAAGAUCAAGAAACUUAAAACAAGCUUGUGGUAGGUGUUUUUUAUUAAGUUUAUUUGGUGGCUUUUUUUUUAAGUUUAUUUAGUGUGUUUUUUUAAGUUUAUUUGGUGUGUUUUUGUAAUUUUAUUUGGUGUGUUAUUUAUGUUGUUUUGAAUAAAGAUGAUCUUAGUUUACAUAACGAUUCUCUUCAUUUAAAUAAAAUAUACCAGAUUGAAUAUUUUUUCUGUAAUUUUUAUUAAUUUUACUGUAUUUUUUAAUAAGUUGUAUCUAACCUAAUUAAUAUGGACCGUUGGAUUACGAUGAAUGAUUAAUCCAAAAGCCUAGAUUUUGACACGUAAUCCCAACGGUAAUAAUAGGAUUUUUGCUGAUUUUUCUUUUUGGUUUAAAGUUUUUUAAGCCCCAAAAAUCUAGACCUUCUAAUAGACUAGAAUUUGCCACUUGUAAGCCGUUAUUUUCAAAUUCAAAAUUUUUGAACUGUUGGAAAUCCAAUGGCCAAAAAUAAUCGUUGGAAAUCCAACGGCCUAGACAGAGCCAUGUCCCCCAUGCGGCCCCAGAUUAGCUGAGUGUGCGGCUGUAGUGCGGGCCCCAACUCUGUAUUUUUGUCGGCUCCCUAAUUGAAAAAAUAAUAAUUUAUGUGACUGACAUCAGAUCCACCUAGUCGGUGGGCUAAGCAAUUCGAGGACAUGUGGUAUGUCGAGCACUUAGGCUCCCUUGAAGCCCACUGGAUUGGGUAGUGUUAACGCUCAAAGUUUGCAGGUCAAACCAAGACGAAUUUAGAGACAAAAUUUGCAAACUAAAUAAUGUGUUACUAAUAUGAAUAGGCACGUUUAUCAACGUUUAACUAAUGAACCAACCAUCAACUUCCAUAUCCUUAGAUUUCAAAAAUUUUAUCUACACAUUUAGUCUCCUUUAACAUUAUUUGGGAUGGACAUGCUGUAACUAGAGCACAUCGAGUCGGCCAAGCGGACAUGGACACACAGGUCACGCAUACACACGUCGACAUACAUGAAUCAAUCGGCCAAGCCGUUCACAUCGCUAAUUGCUCACAUCGCAUUUACACAUUCGGCGAUCGGCCUUGUUUGUAAGAAGCGAAGCAAAUUCAGUAGAAAAAGAAUAAAAAAUGGAAGUGACGAGCAACAAGCAUGUGAUACUCAGAGACUAUGUCACCGGCUUCCCCAAAGAAUCCGAUAUGCAAUUAGUCACCGCCGCAGCCACCAAGCUGAAGCUUCCAGAAGGUUCCACUGGGGUUCUGGUGAAGAACCUCUACUUGUCCUGCAACCCUUAUAUGAGAGGCCGCAUGACCAAGCGCGAACCCGGCGGCAGUUAUGUCCCCUCUUUCGUGCACAGUUCGGUCAGUUCAUCCUCCAUCUCUAAUCUCCCUAACUUGUUUUUAUUUUUAGAAAUUUUAGCAUUAAUUUCUGUAUAUUUACAAAUGGGGCUGAAGGAUUGAGAAUUUUUCUCUUUUGGGUCCUCCUUACAAUUUCCCCUUGGUGUCUGAACAUCUCUGCUUUACAAUAUACUUAGAUUAAUUCAAGCUAGCAUUUUUGUGAUGAACGUAAUGUCAUUUUUCUUGGCCAAACAAAAAAGCUUGCAUUUUUUGUGCCUAUUUAGUAUCGUAGAAUUAUAUUUUGUUACUAAUAAUUAUCGCAUCGAAGAUAUUGAAAUGCUGUGGACUGGCAGCCUAUAACCGGAUACGGAGUGGCUAAAGUUUUGGAAUCGGGGGAUCCCAUGUUCAAGGAAGGCGAUUUCGUUUGGGGGAUGACCGCGUGGGAAGAAUAUAGUCUCAUCGCUGCCACAAAGGCCCUGUUUAAGAUUCACGACACCGAUGUCCCACUCUCUUACUAUACUGGAAUUCUAGGCAUAUUUCUAGUGCUAUUUUCACCAAAUUUUGAAGUUGAUGUCUUGGGAAAAUUGCUUAUGUAGCACAUAGCUAGUUAUCUGAAAUUUAUAUAAGGAGAAAUUAGGUUCUCAUCCUUCCUUUUGCUACUACAUUAAUUAAAAUCCUAUUCCUUUUCAAUUUUUGAUCAAGGUCUUUGGGUAUUAAUAACAUCAUUAAUUAUUUCAAUAAUAAAAUAGUUUUUAAUUUCUAAAUAUAUUCAUUUAAUGUUAAAAAUGUUACAAUUUGUAUAUUUAUAUUUAUGACUAAAUUUUUUAUCAUAUAUUUUUAGUUUUAAUUUGUACCCAUUUUUAAUUUGUAAUUCUUUUUUAACUUGUACCAUUUUUCUUUUUAGUUUUAAUUUGUACCCAUAUAUUAAUUUCUUUUUUGUGUCCAUAUUUUUUAAAGUUUAUUUGUAUUUGUACCCAUAUAUUUUUUUAUUUGUACUUUUUAUUUUGCUAAAUGUACCCAUGCUAAUUAUAUGUACCCAUUCAUGUAAAACUUUUUAAUCUUAAAAUGUAUUCAUUCUUAAAUAUACCAAUUUGUUAUAUGUAAAAUGUACCAUUUUUUAUAUAUAUAAAAUGUGACAUCCCAUAUCGCCCAGGGGAGUGAUCCUUAAAUGUAUAUUCUCAUCCCUAUCUAGCACGAGGCCUUUUGGGAGCUCACUGGCUUCGGGUUCCGUAGGAACUCCGAAGUUAAGCAAAAAGGAGGUCAGGGCACUUCCAGGAUGGGUGACCCACUGGGAAGUUGCUCGUGAGUUCCUAAAAACAAAACUGUGAGGGAAUGGUAAAGCCCAAAGCGGACAAUAUCGUGCUACGGUGAUAGAGAUGGCCCGGGAAGUGGUCCGCCCCAGGCCGGGAUGUGACAAAUGGUAUCAGAGCCAAUCCUUGGCCGGAAGUGUGCCGACGAGGAUGUCGGGCCCCUAAGGGGAUGGAUUGUGACAUCCCACAUCGCCUAGGGAAGUGAUCCUUAAAUGUAUAUUCUCAUCCCUAUCUAGCACGAGGCAUUUUGGGAGCUCACUGGCUUCGGGUUCCGUAGGAACUCCGAAGUUAAGCGAGAAGGAGGCCAGAGCACUUCUAGGAUGGGUGAUCCACUUGGAAGUUGCUCGUGAGUUCCCAAAAACAAAAUCGUGAGGGAAUGGUAAGCCCAAAGCUGACAAUAUCGUGCUACAGUGGUGGAGAUGGCCCGGGAAGUGGUCCACCCCGGGCCGGGAUGUGACAUAAAAUCUAUUCAAUUCUUUUCUAAUCCAUUUUUAAACUUAUAUGGGUACAUUCUUUUUUCUUUGAUUUUAAAAUGUAUCCAUGUCAAGUUUAAUCGAAGAAAUUUACUAAUGUUAUUAAGCUUAAUUUUUUUUUGUUUGUGAUUUUGAAGAAUGUACCCAUGUUUUGAUACAAUAAAUUUUUUGGUUAAUUUUGAUGAAUGUACCCAUGUCACAACCCGUCCCGAAAUACUUUUAUCGAAGGUGUGAAAAGACUAGAAUGCCCUUGGGCGUUGAGAUGUGUUGUGUGUGACAUGGUUUUAGAAGUGGACCAAUAUAAUUAUUUUCCUAAGUUUUUGGGGCCAAUGAGAACUUAACCUUGGUUAGUUAAGUUUUUGGGGCCAAUGAGAACUUAACCUUGGUUAGUUGUGAUUGGUGUGCAGAUUGGACUACACACACAUAUCCACAUCAUUUUCUCUCUCUCUCUCUCUCCCGUACUCCCUCUCUCUCGCAGACUCUCACUCUCUCUCCCUUCUUUGUACGGACCAACCCAGAAACCCUCUCAAACCUUGUAGAUCGAAGGUUUUAAGAUCAUUAUUGUGCUCGUGAGGACCAUACGAGUUUAAAGGUACCAUUUUCAGGUAAGGAAACCCUCGAAAACCCGUGAAAGUCCUAGCUCCGAUUUGAGGUACUAUUCAUGUGGACGUAAAAUCUUAUGUUUCAGGGAAUUUUAAGGACACAUGGAGCUUUAGGAGGUCCUCACGAGGCUCAGAGUAGUUCGUUGGAAGAAAUUGGACGUCGGGAUAGUUAGUGCUCCGCCCGUGGCCAGGGCCAGCCUUCACGUGAUCGUUCACCUCCCGCACUACACUCUCACCUUGAAUCCAAGGUAGGUGCCAGCCUAUCGUACAGACCACAAUAGAUGGUUCCCGACUCGUAGGUGACCCGCGAUUUAUCGCACAGCCUUCACGUGAUUGUAGCACUUGAGCAUACAUGUUUAUUUACACCUAGCUUGUCGUACAGACCACGAGAGGUGGUUCCUGACUCGUGUGCAGGCAUAUUAGUAAUGAGAUGAUUGAGCUCUAGAUUAAGCCGUGCAGGUCACAAGAGGUGACUCCCGGCUAGAUGGGUUAUUUAUAUUGAAUUAUAGCCUCUGGCUUACAUAUGUGAUAUUGUGAUAGUAAUCAUGGCAUGAGUAUCGGACAUGGCAUAUGCAUGACAUUUAUAUUUGGAUUUUGAGAUGUUGAACAUGAAUUGAGUUAUGGAUAUUUAUAUGUUCUAUUUUAUGGGAAAAUUAUACAGGUUUUAUGGCGAGGGGUUAGAACUUUUGAGAAAGAAAUGAAUUUCAAAAACCUUGUUUUUGCCCACUCACGUUUUCUGUUUUUCGCCCCUCCAGGUUCUAGUAAGAUUGUUCGUUGGUGGCGUUGCGAAGGCUUCCAUGCAGUUCUGACAGUUUGCCUUAAUAUAUGAUCACCUGCGGGUGUUGGCUAAUUAGUACUUAUUGCUUGACUGCACUUAGGUUUUAUGCUCUAUAUAAGUGUAAUUCACUCUUAAACUCGCACUAGCACAUUAUCUUAGUUAGUGCUGCUAGUGGUUCGGUUUUUAAUUAUUCAGAAUUUCAUAUCUUUAUUGCUUCCGCACUGUGCACAUGUCUUACGUCACUCUCACGUGACGGCCAGCACGUCCUGAUUCAGGUCGAGGUGUGUCAACCCAUGUUUAUACACACACACACACACACAAUAGUAUAUUUAUAUUUUAAUAUUUUUAAUCCCACAAAUUAUGGUUUUUUUAUUUAAAAUCUCAUUUAUAUAAAUAACUAAAAUUUCUAAUUUUUAUUUUAAAAAAUACAGUAACGUACAUAGAAAUAAAUUAUCACAUUAAUUUCAGGAACCUCGAUCAAAAAUUAAAAACCAAUAAGGUUUCAAUAAAAGAAUAUUCAUAACUAAGGACCGCAUCCAAAGUCUCCCUUUAUAUAAUCCCAUAUAUAAACAGUCCCAUUUUUAAGAUAAUUUUUUCAAUAUUUCUCCAAAUAUUAUUAGCCGAACGUAUCCAUCUAUAUGAUCGAUCCAUCCACCAAGAUCAGAAAUAAAGAUAUAUUUAUGUGGCCGGCCAUCUCGACAUUUUUUAAUUAAAAUAUAAUUGUCAAAGUGGGAAAGGGUGACUAACGACUCACGAACGAGACCAGGCCAGGCCACCACCACUUCCUCUUCGUCCCCUCUUGUCUUGUGCUUCAGUUCCCAGUUCCCUCCCUCCCACUCUCAUCAAUCUAGCAAAGUAUGCAUAAUUAAUUAGUAAACAUGGCAUUAUUAUAUGUAUAGCAACUUGCAUUAAAACGAUAGUUAUUAUUUAAAAAAAUUAGUAUUCGGUCACUAGUUAAUAAUGUUCAUUAACUGAGGUAUAAUUAUUUUUCAGAUUUUGAUCGAAAUCCCAAGCUUUAAUGUUUAAUGAAUAUAGAUGUCAUUUACGUAAUUUUUUAGAAUAUAUAUUAGUAAUAAUUUAAAAUUUUAAUACUCACAGCCUUAUUAAACUCCUAAUUAAUUUUCAAUUCAAAACAUUUCCAAAAUAAAAAAGAUAAAAUGAUCUUAACUUAAUUAGAGAGACAGACCAUUAGUUCACUCCAAAACAUCAAUAUUAUCUUAACUUAAUCAUCAAUUUCUAAGUAUUAAAUUUCAGGAUAAUAUGGGACUAAAUGUCAUUAACAAUAAACUUUAUUAGAAGUCGAACCGUGGACUUACGGGACUAUAUUCUAUUUUCUUAAUAUGGGACUACAUGUUAAAGGAGAAGCUUGAAGCUUUAACAAUGGAGGAUUUCGCACUUAGAGAGAGAAAGAGAUUACAGGAGUUUUAGAGAAAAACUGAGAAAGUAAUUUUGUAUAUUUCAUUUCACUUAGAAUUGCUUACACACUAUCUCUUUAUAUACUCUUCACAUUCCUUACAAAUUAAGCAAACUCAUAACAAACUCAUCAACUUAAUCUAUUGACACUUGACUGCACAUCAACCAUUGGAUUGACCCUGUGCCUUUAUACCUUUACAUCCCUCAUCAAUCUCAUGCUUACUAGAACUAAGCAUGAGAUUGGAACAAUGAUCUUGAAACAGAGAAGUAGACAACCCUUUAGUUAAAAUGUCUGCAAACUGCUCCUUGGAAGAGACAUGUUGUACACCCAAGUCACCUUUGAUAACUCUCUCCCGGACAAAGUGGUAGUCAAUUUCAAUAUGCUUCACCCGUGAAUGAAAGACUGGGUUAGAGGAUAGGGCGAUAGCAGAAAUAUUGUCACAAAAUAACAUGGGAGCAUCAUAUAAAGGAACAUGAAGAUCACACAGAAGUUGACGUAUCCAAGAGACUUCGACUGCAGUGAUGGCAAGUGCUCGAUAUUCUGCCUCAGUAGAGGACCGAGACACAGUAUGUUGUUUCUUGGAGGCCUAAGAAAUAGGUGUAUUACCCAAAUAAACAAUAUAGCCGGAUGUGGAUCGACGAUCAUUGGGAUCCCCUGCCCAAUCUGCAUCGCUAUAGGCUUGAAGUUGUAAUUUGCCAGGAGUAAAAUGAAUGCCAUAGUCAAGAGUGCCACUGAGAUACCUCAAAAUCUGUUUCACCGCAACAACAUGAAUAUCCAGAGGGUUGUGCAUAAAUUGACAACAUUGGUUAACAGCAAAUGCAAUAUCAGGCCUAGUGAAGGUCAAAUACUGCAAUGCACCAACAAUGCUGCGAUAGUGUUCGAGACUAUGGUAAGGUGAACCAUCUGUCUUAGAUAGCCUGUGAUAAGGAAGGCAUGGUGUGGCACAUGACUUGGCAUCUUGCAUAUCAACCUUGGCGAGAAGAUCUUGAAUAUAUUUGGUCUGAGAGACAAACAAACAUGUGUUCUUGUAAGUGAUCUGCAAGCCUAAGAAGUAAUGUAAAAUGCCCAAGUCCUUCAUAUCAAACUCUUGUGUCAGAGCUAAAAUGACUUUAGACAUAAGAGAUGGAUUGCUGCCAGUAAGGAUGAUAUCAUCCACAUAGAGUAAGAGAAUCACAAUACCAUUGGAAGUUUGCUGGACAAACAAUGAAGGAUCGGCAAAAGAGGCUUUGAAGCCUAAGCUCGGUAAGAAGCUUGUAAACUUCUCAUUCCAUGCCCGAGGAGCCUGUUUAAGACCAUACAAGGACUUCUUGAGUUUACAAACAUAAUUUGAAGGAUGAGAGGAACAGACAAAACCAGGAGGUUGACUCAUAUAGACCUCUUCGAGAAGAUCUCCAUGUAAAAAAGCAUUUUGAACAUCCAACUGUCUCAAACUCCAGUUAAACUGAGCUGCAAGUGCUAAGAUUAAUCGGACAGUAGUAGGCUUAACCACGGGACUAAAAGUUUCAGUAUAAUCGAUGUCUUCCUCUUGACUAUACCCUUUAGCCACAAAACGAGCUUUAUACCGUGCUAUAGACCCAUCUGGAUUCCUCUUAAGCUUGUACACCCAUUUGCAUCCAACUAAGUUUUUGCCAAUAGGAAGAGGAACAAAAGUCCAGGUCUUCUGAGCAUUCAAAGCAUUUAUCUCAUCUUGCAUGGCAGCAUGCCAUUCUGAGACUUGACUAGCUGACUUGAAAGAAACCGGUUCCAUAACAGGCACAAGUAAGGAUGAAACAAAAGCUAAGAAAGUUUUUUUCUUAGAAAUCCCACUUUUGGAUCUUGUUUGCAUGGGGUGUAAGCUCACAGAGGGUACAGGCAGAACCACACUUAGACGUUCUUGUUGGAAAUCAGGAUCCAUAAGGAUUGGAGACUGUGUAGGUGCAAGAUGAGCUAACAGGGAUGAUGGUGUCUCUUGUGGAGAAAUAACAGGUAUAGGGGCAGGUAUAGGGUUGGUGGAAGAAGCCAAACACUUUGGAGCUAUAGUUGGAGAUGCCAAAGACUCUGAAGCACUAGGGGUUAUAGAAGAAAACUCUGAAGCUCUAGGGGUUAAAUGCACUGAUGUAGAUGAUGGUGGAAAUGAUGAUAAUGUGUGUGAUUCAAUAACAUUGUGAAGUGUAACUGAUGGUGGUACAAUUAAAGAAGGCGUGCUAAGUGAUGGUGUAACCUGAGACUUAGAAAUAAGAUCCAAAUAAGGAUAAGUAUGCUCAUAAAAAAGAACAUGUCUUGACACGUGAAAUUUGCUAGUAAUGGGAUUAAAACAAAUAUACCCUUUAUAUUGACCAGCAUAUCCCAGAAAUAUGCACUGUGCAGUCUUGGGUUGGAAUUUGGAAGUGUUGUAGGGUUUCAAGAGAGGAAAAUAACUACAUCCAAAAACCUUUAAAUGUGUUAACACUGGGGGUUUUUGAAACAGACAAGUGUAUGGAGACUUCAUGGUUAAAACCUGACAUGGCAUUCUGUUUAUUAAGUAGAUAGAAACUGCACAAGCAUGAAACCAAAACUGUGAAGGCAAAUGAGCUUUUUGAAGAAGAGUAAGUGCAGUUUCAACAAUAUGCCGAUGCUUGCGUUCAACAAGACCGUUUUGCUCAGGUGUGUGUGGACAAGACUUGUGAUGCAAAAUGCCUUUUGUUAACAGAAACUGUUUGAACUUGUUACUGGUGUAUUCACCAUCACCAUCGCUUUGGAAAAUUUUAAUGGCAGUGGAAAAUUGAGUUUGUACAAAAGAAUGAAACUGCAUAAAGGUAUGAAACACAUAACUUUUAUUCAUUAAAGGAAAUAUCCAGGUAAACCUGGUACAUUCAUCUAUGAAAAGUACAUAGAAUUUGAAACCCUCAAUGGACAAAGUAGGUGAUGGUUCCCACACAUCACUAUGUAUAACCUCAAAGGGUUUUACAUUUUUAUUUGCAGGGUAUGAAAAAGGAAGUUUAGUAAAUUUUCCUUGCAAACAAGAGAUACACACAUGUUUAGAAGGAUCCACAGAAAAAGGAACCUGAGAUUGAUGCAACAUGUGAGAAACAACAAAAUUAGAUGGAUAGCCUAAUCUGUUGUGCCACAAAUUUGUGUUCACUUGAUGACCAAGGUAACAAUGCUGCUGUUUGUGUGAGUGAGGUGUCUUUAAUGCUUGAUUGACAAUGGAUUAUGGUAUGUAUAAUGGAAUUAGAUAUAGGCCAGCUCUACACAGUCCAUGAAGAAGAACUUUCCCUGUGAUCUUGUCUUGAAUCCAGAAAGAGAACUCGUCACAUAUGAACCUACAUUUGUUAUCUUUACAGAGCCGAUAAAUAGACAACAAAUGUUGAGAUAAUUUUGGCACAUGCAGGAUUUUCUUUAGUUGAAAAGCAUGUUUUGGAGUAUGCAAAACAGAAGAACCAGUGUGAGAUAUGGGCAAACCUGCACCACUUGCAGUGGUUAUAGUAUCCGUGCCAAUGAAUAGAGUGGCAAGAGUAAGAUUGGACAAGUCAGACGUCAUGUGGGAUGUAGCACCCAUAUCAGCAACCCAGAAUUGCUCUUGAGGGGCAGAUGGUUGAUAGGUAGCAUGCAUUGCAGUAAUAGAGGAUGGUGGAGAUCUUCCUUGGUAUGAAAAAUUGGUUCUGUGGUAACAUUGCAUUGCAGAAUGACCAAAUUUCCAACAAAUUUAGCAUUGCACUGGAGAUGAUGAAACAGUGGUAGAAGAAUGUCUCUGGAAGUAAUCAGCAGCAAUAUGACCUCUUUUGUUUCAUAUUUGACACACAGGUAUGUCAUUGCUAUGCUCAGGGCAAGUGGAAACAUGUGGUCUCACAGGACCAAGUAUGCCAGGACUGUUAUUAGGACUGUUACCCAAGAACCUAGAAUUAUUACCAAAGUGGGUUCUGCCUCUUGCUCUUCCUCUGAGAUUUGGUCCUCUAUAACCUCCAGAAUUAUUGUGAUAGAACCACCAGAAUUGUUGUUAUAAGAUCCACAAAACCAAGAAUACCAUGAUUUUCAAGAAGCAAUCGCAUUUGAUAAUGCCAGACUAAGUAAUUCGUAUCAUCUAAUUUGACCGUCACAGAGACCGACACAUUAGGAAUCAAGUGCAUAAUUGGAGACUGAACUAUCUGAAGUUGGGCAGUAGUCACCAUACUUUUGAAAUUCUUAUAGAAACAGGAGAAAUCUUGAAGAAAUUGAGAGAUUCUUGAAGAAAUUGAGAAGGUAGGGUUUGCGAUCAAAUGCAUUGCACUUUUCAGAACAGAGAUCCAAGAUUGUAGAAGAAGAAAUUCACAGAUACCAUCAUUCACACAUAUCAUCAAACAGGUCAUGUGCAAGAAACACAACCGACUUGUAGAUUAUAAUUCACCAUAUCAGAGAGGAUCGAAGAAAGAAAAUGACAUACCACGGAUUCAGGGAAGUAGUUGAGAAGAGAAGAUUGAAGAUAGCGGAAGCAACACUUGAUCAGGAUCGAUAAACGCCAUCUGUUCCCGGCGAGGAUACCAUGUUAAAGGAGAAGCUUGAAGCUUUAACAAUGAAGGAUUUCACACUUAAGAGAAAGAGAUUACAGGAGUGUUAGAGAGAAACUGAGAAAGUAAUUUUGUAUAUUUCAUUUCACUUAGAAUUGCUUACACACUAUCUCUUUAUAUACUCUUCACAUUCCUUACAGAUUAAGCAAACUCAUAACAAACUCAUCAACUUAAUCUAUUGACACUUGGCUGCACAUCAACCAUUGGAUUGACCCUGUGCCUUUAUACCUUUACACUACAUUCAACAGCAAUUCCCAUUCCAAAUCGCUCAUACCGCUCUCCUCGGCUCCGCCCGCCUAUAUAAAGAGAGGGAGAGAGAGAGACAGCUGGUAAAAUGAGAUAAGGAAGAGAAAUAAGCAGCAAUCCAUCAAUGGCGGCGAGUACAGAGGAAGUGAUCAGCAACAAGCAGGUGCUACUGAAAGACUAUGUGACCGGCUUCCCCAAAGAAUCUGACAUGCAACUCACCGCCGCCACCACCAAGCUCAAGCUUCCAGAAGGUUCAAAAGGGGUUCUGGUGAAGAACCUCUACUUGUCCUGCGACCCUUAUAUUAGAAACCGCAUGACCAAGCGUGAACCUGGCGCCAGUUUUAUGGAUUCCUUCAAACCCGGUUCGGUCAGUCACUAUAUGUGCCCUUUCCCUUUUGUUCAAGUUUGAAAGUUCGCUUCCUUAUGAUCUAUCAUGUAAUAUUAGUAUUGAAUAAUGUGACCGAGUAGCCCAAGUACUAAUCUUGUUGGACAGAUAGCCUCGUUUUUCGGAUUACAAUUUGUUGAUGUUUGGGAUGAUUUAAUAAUUUACAGUUUGAGACAACUUAGGUAUUCGCUGUUGUACUAUCUCUUUAUUUACCGUUAGAUAUUGAAAUUUGAAAUGAUGUGGCAGCCUAUAGUCGGAUAUGGAGUUGCCAAAGUUUUGGAAUCCGGAGAUCCCAAGUUUAAGCAAGGCGACUUCAUUUGGGGAAUAACCGGGUGGGAAGAGUACAGUGUUAUCACUGCAACGGAGUCUUUGUUUAAGAUUCAGCACACUGAUGUGCCUCUCUCUUACUAUACUGGUAUUCUUGGUAUGUUGCUGUGUAUUGGCUAUUGCUAUUUCCUUUGCCUUGGGAUUUAUUUCAUUUAAAAAUUUGUUCUGCCACAAGGAUCCAGCCUAUCUCAAGUCUUGUAUCUCUAGUUGUAUUCUGCCUCCAGUGACCUCUAUCAUACUAAAAAUGUGAACUGAUUUGUUGAUUCUCACGGCUCUUUGUAAACUAUAUCUUCACAAACCAAUGCAACAUAUUCCUUUUCAUAAUAGCAUUUUGAUUUGGAAGUACGGAAAUGAUUUAGCUUACAUAAUCAAUUGGUCCUAUGCAUUUGUAGCAUUGUUCUUUGAUUGUAUGCAAUUGCUGAAGUGAUCCAUCCUUAAUAAUUCAACCAAAUAUUUAGUUUUAUGGGUUUGUAAUGCAUGAUAUAUUUACUUGAUGCUACGCUCAUCUAAUGUAUUCAUUUUAUAUAGGUAUGCCUGGAAUGACUGCUUAUGCUGGUUUUUAUGAGGUCUGCAAUCCUAAGAAGGGAGAGACGGUCUUCGUUUCAGCAGCAUCUGGGGCGGUAGGUCAGCUUGUUGGCCAAUUGCAAAGUCGUUGGGUUGCUAUGUUGUUGGAAGUGCUGGAAGCAAAGAAAAGGUCAGUUAUUGCAAAUUUAGUGGUCGAUUGCAACUAUAUCUUAGAUGGCAUUUCUGUGAUUGUGAUUCAAUCGGAUGAUUAUUCUUGGUUUAGAAACAUGUAUUAAGUGAUGUAUGCCAAAUUGGCAACAGAGAAAUUUUGACUAAUCGAAAUGGGGAAAAUUAUGAGAACUUAUUGGAAUGUACAGAUAUUGGUGACCCUUUAUCUUCAUAAUCAAGUGCGUAAAAUUCAGCUUUGACCUGUUUUCAACCUCCUGCCUCAUUUAGUUGGCAAAUUGUUCGUAUCAUAUGAUACCGCAAGCAUAUGCUACUUAGUAAAUUACAGAGAAAUGUGCAUCUAUGAGCUUUUUUGGUCUCAUUCCUACAGUUUUCCGUAUUUCAAAUGACAAUGUUUUAACCAUUCUUGCUGUAUUUUAACAUGUUAUAUCAUUUCUGAGGUUAGGUUGAUCUGCUGAAGAACAAGUUUGGGUUUGACAAAGCUUUCAAUUAUAAAGAAGAGCCUGAUUUGGAUGCAGCUUUAAAAAGGUCAGUAUUUAUAUGUUGAUCAGAAUCAAACUAUUAUUUUAAAGCUUUUACAUGUGUCUUUAAUUACGAGGGGAAAGUCCAAUAAAGGCAUUAGCAAUCUCUAAAGUCAUGCUUUAGUGAUUUUAGUCCCCAAUUUCCUAAAACAGAGAAAAAGUAAGUUGAAAUGUGACGGUGGGAGCAUGUGGCUGUUGAAGAGAUACUCACGUCUUUGUCCUCUUUGUAGAUAUAUUCCAUGGUUUUCGGUGUUUGCUUAUGGUCUAAAUAUGUGAUUUGCUUACCAGAUACUUUCCUGAAGGCAUCGACAUAUACUUUUGAAAACGUUGGGGGAAAAAAUGCUUGAUGCAGUGCUACAAAACAUGAGGCUCCAUGGCCGGAUUGCAGUUUGUGGGAUGGUCUCGCAGUAUAACCUUGACCAGCCUGAAGGUUGUCACAAUUUAAUGUAUCUGAUCAUUAAACAGAUUCGCAUGCAAGGUUUCGGGGUUUCUAGUUACUACCACCUUUACGGAAGUUUCUUGAAAUGGUUCUGCCGGCCAUAAAAGAAGGGAAGAUAACUUAUGUGGAAGAUGUAGUGGAAGGCCUUGAGAGCGCUCCAGCUGCUCUGAUAGGGCUCUUUGCCGGCCGCAAUGUGGGAAAGCAGGUGGUGGUAGUUUCCCGAGAAUGAUUUCAUUAGGCUCUCCAUGGCUCCGAAGUCUCAACCUUUAGCUAUAUGGUAUAGGGUAUAAUCGUCUACUAUGAAAUGCAAAUGCUUUCUUAUGCAUUUACAAGUUUAUCUCUCUACAGGUUUGUGGCAAGCUUAUUAUCCCGACGAGGACUGUGCUUGAUCCCUCAUCUUAAUUCUAAAUAAAUGUCUUGAUUUGCUUAAUAAUAUCAAGCACUAAGUCUAGUAGAUCUUUCAAUUAUGUUUUCUUUUUUUUCCAACCUGACCCGCUUUGUCAACUGGUUGACGUGGUGUUUAUGGUGAAUAAACCAAACACAGCGUUAAGCUAAAAGAUAACGCGAACACAAUCUGUUAAAGUGGUCCACCUUUUAUCAACAUGACAUGUUAAUGCUCAAUCAAAAUUCAAAUUUUUGCCCGUGUUUGUGCUGUGUCAUAGGAAGUAAUACUAGGUAAACCAAAUUUGCAAACUAAAUAAUGUGUCAUCAAUAAGAAAUAACAUCAUUUUUAAUAAACAAUAGGAUAUAUGGAAAAACUUUUUUAACGUGUGCUGUCUUUUGUUUUUUAAGAAGAAAAAACAAGAAGGAAACCGUGUCUGGUUAAAAGAUGGACGAUCAGCAUUGGAAUCCAAAACUUAUUGGUGAUAGAACUUAUUAAUUCCUAACUGAAAAAAAAUGGAGUGUCGAUUUCUCUUUCGAAUUGGACUUCUAUUAAAUGAGACGAAACUAAUUAAGAGAGAAAAUGAAGAAGCUAAUAAAGAAGCUUUGAAUUGCUUUUGGAAUUGCUUUUCAAAUUGCCUGCCAUUUCAUUCACAACUUCACGUAUUUAUAUAUUUCUAUAAUCUAAUAGUAGCUUUCUUAAAAUAAUAAUUAGGUUAUACCAUAAACAUUGAGGGAUGUGAUAUCCACACACCCAUUUUUAUUUCUUCCAUAUUUUUUUGGUUUUUAACCGUCUGAUCGGAUGAAUUGAAUAAGAUCAACAGACAAAAAUUAACAAAAAGCCUAUAAAAAGUAAAAAUAAGUGUGUGGAUAGCACACUCCAACAUUGAAUUGUUAGAAAGCUUGACUAAUACAAACCUUCCACUAUAUGUGGUGUUUCAAACGUAUUAGUUUAAAACCACCAAUAAAUAAAGAAUAGUAUUUGUAAUUAUCAUCGGUGUUUGUAAUCAACUAUUAUAAUUUAAUAUUGCCAAAGUACCUGUGGGCUCAUGAAUCAAUUAUUAUGGUUUAAUAUUUCCAAGGAUCCUCAUGAAUCAUUGUUUUUUUCCAUCUGACCGGAACACAAAUAGUAUACCAUGUGUUUUUAUACAAGUGGUAGAAAAUUGUAUUUUUUAAGUUAUUAACUUUUUAACACACAUAUCUCACAAUUUGUAUAAUGACACGUGGUACACCACCUCUUGUUCCCGUCACACUGGAAUUUCCCAUUUAAGAACCUUAAGCUCCUGCUCAAUUUAGGAAAGGGAUCAUCUAUGGUUCCCUUUCCACCAAAUCCAUCUAGUUUGAGAUCUGAGUUGUUGGAUUUGAUCCAACGGCUACAAACAGGAGAACCUUUUAAAAGUUAUAAUAAUCCAACGACCCAGAUCCCGAACUAGGUGAAUUUGGUAGAAAAAGAUCUGAAGAUGAUCCCUUUCCUUCAAGUUAAUUCAUGAAAUGAGGAAAUUCUAUUUCUGCCUUGUCUCGUCCAUACCACUUUCAUUUGUCUUGAACAAUAAAAAUACAUGACGUAUAAAAAAUAAGGUCCAUACAAAUUGGAUCAAACUACAAGGCAAAACAAGAUGUAAUCCAGCCUAUCAAAAAUGAGGAUGGGCUUUACGUACAUCCAUAAAUAAAAUAAAAUAAAAGAUGCAUUUCCCUACAAAAGAGGGAAGAAACAUACAAAAUCAGCGGCUCCCCCAUUUUCUACAACAAAAAGAAAAGUGGAGUCAGUUUAAGAGAAAGUGGCGAAAAGAAAGGCCUCUAUCCUCCCCCACGUAAGAACUCUGGAAACCACAGCAAAAAAAGGAGGACGAAAAAAAGAGGGAGACGCCGCAGAAAUUGAAGCACACGGGGGACAGAAAAAAGGAAGGGGAGACGCUGCAGAAAAGAGGGAGAUCGACAAAAAAAAAAGGACGAUAGAGAAGAGCACAAAGGAACAAAAAAAGGAAGAAGAGCAGGACACGGAGAAGACAGCAGAGAAGUACGGACAACAAAGAAGAACAACGCAAGAAAGCAAGGGAGAAACAUAAGGAAAAAGAAACAAAAAAAAAGAAACAGCCAAGAGCAGGAAGGUAUAAAUUUAUUUUAAAUUUGUUCUUUGUUGUUUUGUUUCCUCUCGACUUUUGCAGGAGAGAAAGAAGAAAUUUGCUUUCUUCUUCAUCUUUCACCAAAAGGGGAGAAUAAGGCUUGCUAUCGACUUCCUUUGAAAAGGCCAUCUCGUGAAAGACAAAAGGGGAAGGCCAUGGGAUCCUAACCUUUCUCAAAAUUUAUUGGGCAAGGCAUUACAAAAGAAGGAAAUGUUGCUGCCGCUUCAUCCUUCGAAAAAUAUUCCAGGAAAAAGAAGAUAGUUUUAUUCAUCAUGUAAAGUGUUGCAGCAAGCUACUAGGUGGAAAAGUCAAAAGAAAAAAGAUGUUUUCCUACUAUUAGAAAAGUCCUAACAAAGGUACACCUACAAUAAAGAGGCUAUUGGCUCUACAAAGAAACAAGACAAAAAUAUGGGCAAGUGUGUUGGGAGGAAAUCAAAGCUCCCUAACCCUUUCACGUGAUGAAGAGCAAAACAAGUUGGGAAUCCAUGCAGGUGGUUCUCUAGAAAAAGGGACAAGUUUGCUACAGAACAAAAAUUUGCCAAAGAACAAUUGAUAUAGGAUUUGAACCCCACCAAAGGAAAGUUGCGGCAAAGAGAAGAAAAAAUAAAAAGAAGGGUGGAUAAAGCUUCCUGAAAAUCACGAACCCACGUGGGAAGUUGUGAAAACUUAAAAGCAUGAAAAAAAAGUAAGCUGUUUUUGUGAAGGUUUGAAAAUUCAAAGUAGGUUCAAAAGAAAAGUAUGCAUCUCACGUGGGGAAGAAGUGUGGUUAUUGAAAUGGGAAGUCAAAUUAUUGAAAUUGGAAGACAAGUCCUAUUGGAACUUGGAAAGCUCCGAAGCCACAUCAAAAUUCAAAUGGCAUGAAGCCACCAAAUCCAAACAAAGUAACAAAUUUUUAACGAACUACGCCGGUUUGAUUCUGUUAAAGAUACGUAGGCAGUCUAAUAUCAAGUUUUAGACGCAACCGUGAAACCGAAACAAAUCUCUGGUUUAUAUAUACUAAAUUCACUCCUACCAUCAAAUACCAAAAUGGCACGAAGCCGAAGAAAAGUUUCAAAGGGCACGAAGCCGUAUCAAAGUCUCAAAUGGCAUGAAGCCAUAUCAAAUUUUCAAAUGCUCCUCGCCCGCAUGAGUUGAAAUUGCAUAAGGCACUAUGCUCCUCGCCCGCACGAGCUAAAACUGCACAAGGCAUCAAAACGCUCCAAUGGCUUAAAGUUCUCGCCCGUACGAGCUGAAACUGCACGAGGCAUCAAGACCCAAACACCAUGAACUACGAGUGACUUGAUCUCUCAAGAGGGUACGUAGGCAAUCUAGGGUUCGACCUAGGUGCAGUCACAAAAUCAAACAAACAUCAAAAUCCUCAAGUUACAUUUUAUUCGAAAUAAAAUCAAAGGGCAUUUCUUUCCCAAAAGAAGGGUUGUAAUUAAUAGGCGCAUAGCCUAGAAUGGGUUGAACUCAAAUUCAUAAAACCCUCUUCGAAAAAAUGAACGAAGGUGAAAUUGUGUCGAGUGAAUUAUUUGUUUACAUAUUAUGUACAAUUUUUGCUCAACAUAAUUUUGAGAACAAGAAGUAUGGAGACCAUGUCCUCAAAAGCCUGUCCUUCAUAAGAUCACCAAAGAAUUUGACACGUUACUGCUGCUCCAUUCUUUGAAGACAUUCUAGAAAAAAGAGGAACAAAGAAAUAGUUUUGUUCAUCACGUGGGAAUCUGCUCAUAUAAAGGAAAAGUAAGGUCGAUUGAAAUUAGAAGUCCCAUUGGAAUUGGAGACCUUUAAAGUUAAAUAAAGAAGUGUAAAGCUUGAUGUCAGAUUGGUCGUAAGUUUAGGUCUGAUGGGUUCGAAAUCACAUGUUUAAAUAGGUUUGAAAAGUUCAAAGAAGAAUAUAAAACGAGAGAGGGGAAAUGCUAACUGAAAUCAGCAACUCAUAUGGAAAAUUGCCCACGUGAAGAAGAAGAGGAAAGCUUUAAAGUCACACCAAAAAAAAGAGAAGGAUGCUUCCAUCAAAAAAAUAAACAACAAAGAACCCCGUCGCAGCCGUCGAGUGAAGAAAAAAAGGAAAAAAGGUUGUUGACGAUGAGAGGAAAGGGUGGCAAAGUUACAUUCGAACAAGUUUAAUUCACAAAAAAGGGGAGAAUAAGGCUUGCUAUCGACUUCCUUUGAGAAGACAUUCUCGUGAAAGACAAAAGGGGAAGGCCAUGGGAUCCUAACCUUUCUCAAAAUUUAUUGGGCAAGGCAUUACAAAAGAAGGAAAUGUUGCUGCCGCUUCAUCCUUCGAAAAAUGUUCCAGGAAAAAGAAGAUAGUUUUAUUCAUCAUGUAAAGUGUUGCAGCAAGCUUCUAGGUGGAAAAGGAAAAGUCAAAAGAAAAAAAGAUGAUUAGAAAAGUCCUAACAAAGGUACACCUACAAUAAAGAGGCUAUUGGCUCUACAAAAAAACAAGACAAAAAUAUGGGCAAGUGUGCUGGGAGGAAAUCAAAGCUCCCUAACCCUUUCACGUGAUGAAGAGCAAAACAAGUUGGGAAUCCAUGCAGGUGGUUCUCUAGAAAAAGGGACAAGUUUGCUACAGAACAAAAAUUUGCCAAAGAACAAUUGAUAUAGGAUUUGAACCCCCCCACCAAAGGAAAGUUGCGGCAAAGAGAAGAAAAAAUAAAAAGAAGGGUGGAUAAAGCUUCUUGAAAAUCACGAACCCACGUGGGAAGUUGUGAAAACUUAAAGGGAACUUUAACGAAAAGCUCCCGGUACUGUUCACUUUAAUGAAAAACCACAUUUUUACACUAAAAAGUCAAUCCUGGUACUAUACACUUUACCCUUUAUUUUGUCCUUAUCAUUAAAACUCAAAGUUUUCAAGCCCUUUUCAUUAGUUUUCCUAAACUUAAAAGCAUGAAAAAAGUAAAGCUUGUUUUGUGAAGGUUUGAAAAUUCAAAGUAGGUUCAAAAGAAAAGUAUGCAUCUCACGUGGGGAAGAAGUGUGGUUAUUGAAAUGGGAAGUCAAAUUAUUGAAAUUGGAAGACAAGUCCUAUUGGAACUUGGAAAGCUCCGAAGCCACAUCAAAAUUCAAAUGGCAUGAAGCCACACCAAAUCCAAACAAAGUAACAAAUUUUUAACGAACUACGCCGGUUUGAUUCUGUUAAAGAUACGUAGGCAGUCUAAUAUCAAGUUUUAGACGCAACCGUGAAACCGAAACGAAUCUCUGGUUUAUAUAAACUAAAUUCACUCCUACCAUCAAAUACCAAAAUAGCACGAAGCCAAAGAAAAGUUUCAAAGGGCACGAAGCCGUAUCAAAGUCUCAAAUGGCAUGAAGCCAUAUCAAAUUUUCAAAUGCUCAUCGCCCGCAUGAGCUGAAACUGCAUAAGGCACUAUGCUCCUCGCCCGCAUGAGCUAAAACUGCACAAGGCAUCAAAACGCUCCAAUGGCUUAAAGUUCUCGCCCGCACGAGCUGAAACUGCACGAGGCAUCAAGACCCAAACACCAUGAACUACGAGUGACUUGAUCCCUCAAGAGGGUACGUAGGCAAUCUAGGGUUCGACCUAGGUGCAGUCACAAAAUCAAACAAACAUCAAAAUCCUCAAGUUACAUUUUAUUCGAAUUGGAAUCAAAGGGUAUUCUUUUCCCAAAAGAAUGGUUGUAAUUAAUAGGCGCAUAGCCUAGAAUGGGUCGAACUCGAAUUCAUAAAACCCUCUUCAGAAAAAUGAACGAGGGUGAAAUUGUGUCCAGUAAAUUGUUAGUUUACAUAUUAUGUACAAUUUGUGCUCAACAAUUUGCAAGAAAGUUGUCUUUUCUUGCCAAUGCAAAAAUUUUAAUACUUCCAAUGUCUUGUUUCAUUCAUGGACCUUUUGCUCCAAGAUAAUGUCGUCUCUCAAGCAUCUUCUUGCUCCGUCCUUAAGUCAUCAACUGAAGGGAGACGAGUGUCUUCGUCAGGAUCAUCAUCCAACAGAGAUGGUUCAAAGAGCUUCAAAUUCUCGGCAUUGAUAAUUGAGUACAUAACCAUGCACUGUGGUACAUCGAGUUGGAAGACAUUAUCACCAGUUUGUUUGAUGAUUUUGAACGGUCCAUAACUGAUAGCCUUGCGUUUUUUUCCUUCUCCUUGUAACCGCUCCUUACCAAGGUGUAAUCAUAUUAUGUCGCCUUUUCUUUGAAGUUGCAUGACAAACGAUGCUUGUCAUGACGACCUUUUAUAUCGCUAUUGAGAUUGUUGCAGUCGUGCGUCCACUUCAGGAUGAAUCUUUUUAAUUCGUUCAAUCAAAAUGUGUUUAGGUGCGUUGAUGGGAAGCGGCACCAUCCUCUCUAGUUCGAGCGACUCCUCAACAAUGGAAUAUUGUGAGUGGAUCCCUUCUUAAAUUGCAUGUUUUUAUAAAUUAUUAGGCUUGCAUGCAUUGCAUAUUUUGUGUUUUAUAUUAUGUUUUACGGAUUUCCAUAUUUAUGAAUUAUUUAAAUUGUUUUUACGAAAUAUUUAUGAUUUAUCGAGUUUGCGUUUUAUUAAAGGUUAUGAAUUAUUGGAUUCUCGUAUAUGCAAUUCUAUUUUCAAAUAUGGAAUCUACGGAUUUAUGAAUAUGCGUUAUCAUGGAUUUAUGAAACAAGGCUUUGAGCUUGUGAGCUUCGGAUUUGAUAUGAGUUUUUGAGGUAUGUUUUUUGUGCUUAUCUAUCAUACAUCACAUCCACACAACAUUGGUAUGAAGACGUCUAUGGCCAUAGGACACUAUUGAGAAGAUUUAUGAUAUACCCCUAGCUUUACUGGCGAAACCAGUAUCGAACAGCUUCACUAGCCACGGCUAGUGUCGGUGUGUGAUGUUAUAUAUUUAUUCUCUGGCAUAACCUAGAGUUGUACAGCUUCACAUUUGGGUGAUGGGGCUUACCAUGUUUCUUCAUUGGCGCAACCUAGUGUUGUACAGCUUCACCUUCGGGUAAUGGACAUGUAUUGCCUUCGGGUGAUUAUGAUACCCCUAGAGAGACAUACCAAAAUAAAAAGGAUAAAAUUAUUUUAACUUAAUUAGAGAGACAGACCAUUAGUUCACUCCAAAACAUCAAUAUUAUCUUAACUUAAUCAUCAAUUUCUAAGUAUUAAAUUUCAGGAUAAUAUGGGACUAAAUGUCAUUGACAAUAAACUUUAUUAGAAGUCGAACCGUAGACUUAUGGGACUAUAUUCUAUUUUCUUAAUAUGGGACUACAUUCAACACCAAUUCCCAUUCCAUAUCGCUCAUACCGCUCUCCUCGGCUCCGCCCGCCUAUACAGAGAGAGGGAGAGAGAGAGACAGCUGGUAAAAAGAGAUAAGGAAGAGAAAUAAGCAGCAAUCCAUCAAUGGCGGCGAGUACAGAGGAAGUGAUCAGCAACAAGCAGGUGCUACUGAAAGACUAUGUGACCGGCUUCCCCAAAGAAUCUGACAUGCAACUCACCGCCGCCACCACCAAGCUCAAGCUUCCAGAAGGUUCAAAAGGGGUUCUGGUGAAGAACCUCUACUUGUCCUGCGACCCUUAUAUUAGAAACCGCAUGACCAAGCGUGAACCUGGCCCCAGUUUUACGGAUUCCUUCAAACCCGGUUCGGUCAGUCACCAUAUGUGCCCUUUCCCUUUUGUUCAAGUUUGAAAGUUCGCUUCCUUAUGAUCUAUCAUGUAAUAUUAGUAUUGAAUAAUGUGACCGAGUAGCCCAAGUACUAAUCUUGUUGGACAGAUAGCCUCGUUUUUCGGAUUACAAUUUGUUGAUGUUUGGGAUGAUUUAAUGAUUUACAGUUUGAGACAACUUAGGUAUUCGAUGUUGUACUAUCUCUUUAUUUACCGUUAGAUAUUGAAAUUUGAAAUGAUGUGGCAGCCUAUAGUCGGAUAUGGAGUUGCCAAAGUUUUGGAAUCCGGAGAUCCCAAGUUUAAGCAAGGCGACUUCAUUUGGGGAAUAACCGGGUGGGAAGAGUACAGUGUUAUCACUGCAACAGAGUCUUUGUUUAAGAUUCAGCACACUGAUGUGCCUCUCUCUUACUAUACUGGAAUUCUUGGUAUGCUACUAUAUAUUAGCUAUUGCUAUUUCCCUCGCGUUCGGAUUUAUUUCAUUUAAAAAUUUGUUCUGCCACAAGGAUCUAGCCUAUCUCAACUCUUGUAUCUAUUAUGAUGGUACCCGUUGAAUGAAAUUUGCGAAUCAUUUUUGUGGGACAUGGAUUGUAUUGAAUUCAUGUUGCAUGUUUGAGUACCGUAAUUUACCAUUGGACUAUUCUCGUGCUGAAUUCAGGAGUGAAUUGAUUGUGUCGUAAUAAUCUUCUUCUUAAAAAAAGUAGCAUUCCCUUACGGAAGGAUUCUGUAUGGUUGUAUCUCUAGUUGUAUUCUGCCUCCAGUGACCUCUAUCAUACUACAAAUGUGAACUGAUUUGUUGAUUCUCACGGCUCUUUGUAAACUAUAUCUUCACAAACCGAUGCAACAUAUUCCUUUUCAUAAUAGCAUUUUGAUUUGGAAGUACGGAAAUGAUUUAGCUUACAUAAUCAAUUGGUCCUAUGCAUCUGUAGCAUUGUUCUUUGAUUGUAUGCAAUUGCUGAAGUGAUCCAUCCUUAAUAAUUCAACCAAAUAUUUAGUUUUAUGGGUUUGUAAUGCAUGAUAUAUUUACUUGAUGCUACGCUCAUCUAAUGUAUUCAUUUUAUAUAGGUAUGCCUGGAAUGACUGCUUAUGCUGGUUUUUAUGAGGUCUGCAAUCCUAAGAAGGGAGAGACGGUCUUCAUUUCAGCAGCAUCUGGGGCGGUAGGUCAGCUUGUUGGCCAAUUUGCAAAGUCGUUGGGUUGCUAUGUUGUUGGAAGUGCUGGAAGCAAAGAAAAGGUCAGUUAUUGCAAAUUUAGUGGUCGAUGUCAACUAUAUCUUCUGUGAUUGUGACUCAAUCGGAUGAUUAUUCUUGGUUUAGAAAUAUGUAUUAAGUGAUGUAUGCCAAAUUGGCAACAGUGAAAUUUUGACUAAUAGAAAAGGGGAAAAUUACGAGAACUUAUUGGAAUGUACAGAUAUUGGUGACCCUUUAUCUUCAUAACCAAGUGCGUAAAAUUCAGCUUUGACCUGUUUUCAACCUCCUGCCUCAUUUAGUUGGCAAAUUGUUCGUAUCAUAUGAUACCGCAAGCAUAUGCUACUUAGUAAAUUACAGAGAAAUGCGCAUCUAUGAGCUUUUUUGGUCUCAUUCCUACAGUUUUCCGUAUUUCAAAUGACAAUGUUUUAACCAUUCUUGCUGUAUUUUAACAUGUUAUAUCAUUUCUGAGGUUAGGUUGAUCUGCUGAAGAACAAGUUUGGGUUUGACAAAGCUUUCAAUUAUAAAGAAGAGCCUGAUUUGGAUGCAGCUUUAAAAAGGUCAGUAUUUAUAUGUUGAUCAGAAUCAAACUAUUAUUUUAAAGCUUUUACAUGUGUCUUAAUUACGAGGGGAAAGUCCAAUAAAGGCAUUAGCAAUCUCUAAAGUCAUGCUUUAGUGAUUUAGUCCCCAAUUCCUAAAACAGAGAAAAAGUAAGUUGAAAUGUGACGGUGGGAGCAUGUGGCUGUUGAAGAGAUACUCACGUCUUUGUCCUCUUUGUAGAUAUAUUCCAUGGUUUUCGGUGUUUGCUUAUGGUCUAAAUAUGUGAUUUGCUUACCAGAUACUUUCCUGAAGGCAUCGACAUAUACUUUGAAAACGUUGGGGGAAAAAUGCUUGAUGCAGUGCUACAAAACAUGAGGCUCCAUGGCCGGAUUGCAGUUUGUGGGAUGGUCUCGCAGUAUAACCUUGACCAGCCUGAAGGUUGUCACAAUUUAAUGUAUCUGAUCAUUAAACAGAUUCGCAUGCAAGGUUUCUGGGUUUCUAGUUACUACCACCUUUACGGAAAGUUUCUUGAAAUGGUUCUGCCGGCCAUAAAAGAAGGGAAGAUAACUUAUGUGGAAGAUGUAGUGGAAGGCCUUGAGAGCGCUCCAGCUGCUCUGAUAGGGCUCUUUGCCGGCCGCAAUGUGGGAAAGCAGGUGGUGGUAGUUUCCCGAGAAUGAUUUCAUUAGGCUCUCCAUGGCUCCGAAGUCUCAACCUUUAGCUAUAUGGUAUAGGGUAUAAUCGUCUACUAUGAAAUGCAAAUGCUUUCUUAUACAUUUACAAGUUUAU
rnacentral:lncRNA from 1 species